rnacentral:rRNA from 1 species
AAUGAACGUUGGCGGCGUAGAUUAGGCAUGCAAGUCGAGCGAGAACCCAGCAAUGGGGGACAGCGGCGCAAGGGACAGUAAUGUGUAGAUUAUCUGCCCUCGGGUCCGGGAUAGCUGCGGGAAACUGCAGGUAAUACCGGAUAACAUCUCCGGAUCAAAGGUGUGACUCCGCCCGAGGAUGAGUCUGCAUCCUAUUAGCUAGUUGGCAGGGUAAUGGCCUACCAAGGCGAUGAUGGGUAGCGGGUGUGAGAGCACGACCCGCGUCAUUGGGACUGAGACACUGCCCAGACACCUACGGGUGGCUGCAGUCGAGAAUCUUCGGCAAUGGGCGCAAGCCUGACCGAGCGACGCCGCGUGUGGGAUGAAGGCCUUCGGGUUGUAAACCACUGUCAGAGGGGAUGAAAUGCAGGUGGGUUCUCCCAUCUGUUUGACAUAGCCUCAGAGGAAGGACGGGCUAAGUUCGUGCCAGCCGCCGCUGUAACAC